ACAAAGACUAUGAAGAGAAGAGUAGAUAUAAAAGGUAGUUUCAGCGAAUUGAGGGUGGUGUAAGCUCAGUACGAAAUUUAUAUUGAAGAACAUCUCGGAGUCUCUAACCGAAAUCAAAUGAGAGUAGGCUUAGACGGUAGGUCCCGUUAUAGACUGUAAGCAAUGCUUAACUAAGAGGUCAAAUUUAUUUUUGGCAACUAGGGUGGUACCGCGAGAGAAUAACAAGUCUUUCGUCCCUUUU
rnacentral:ncRNA from 1 species